UUGAACGCUGGCGGCAGGCCUAACACAUGCCAGUCGAGCGGAUGAAGGGAGCUUGCUCCUGGAUUCAGCGGCGGACGGGUGAGUAAUGCCUAGGAAUCUGCCUGGUAGUGGGGGAUAACGUCCGGAAACGGGCGCUAAUACCGCAUACGUCCUGAGGGAGAAAGUGGGGGAUCUUCGGACCUCACGCUAUCAGAUGAGCCUAGGUCGGAUUAGCUAGUUGGUGGGGUAAAGGCCUACCAAGGCGACGAUCCGUAACUGGUCUGAGAGGAUGAUCAGUCACACUGGAACUGAGACACGGUCCAGACUCCUACGGGAGGCAGCAGUGGGGAAUAUUGGACAAUGGGCGAAAGCCUGAUCCAGCCAGGCCGCGUGUGUGAAGAAGGUCUUCGGAUUGUAAAGCACUUUAAGUUGGGAGGAAGGGCAGUAAGUUAAUACCUUGCUGUUUUGACGUUACCAACAGAAUAAGCACCGGCUAACUUCGUG
rnacentral:rRNA from 1 species